CGGGGGGAGCAAGCGUUGUUCGGAUUUACUGGGCGUAAAGGGCGCGUAGGCGCGCGACAAGUCGCUUGUGAAAUCUCCGGGCUUAACUCGGAGCGGCCAAGCGAUACUGUCGCGCUAGAGUGCGGAAGGGGCAACUGGAAUUCUCGGUGUAGCGGUGAAAUGCGUAGAUAUCGAGAGGAACACCUGCGGCGAAGGCGGGUUGCUGGGCCGACACUGACGCUGAUGCGCGAAAGCCAGGGGAGCGAACGGGAUUAGAUACCCCGGUAGUCCUGGCCUUAAACGAUGAAUGCUUGGUGUCCGGGGUUUUAUAGUCCCCGGGUGCCGGCGCUAACGCAUUAAGCAUUCCGCCUGGGGAGUACGGUCGCAAGACUG
rnacentral:rRNA from 1 species